CUCGUAGGUGGUUUGUCGCGUUGUUCGUGAAAACUCACAGCUUAACUGUGGGCGUGCGGGCGAUACGGGCAGACUGGAGUACUGCAGGGGAGACUGGAAUUCCUGGUGUAGCGGUGGAAUGCGCAGAUAUCAGGAGGAACACCGGUGGCGAAGGCGGGUCUCUGGGCAGUAACUGACGCUGAGGAGCGAAAGCGUGGGGAGCGAACA
rnacentral:rRNA from 1 species